AUUGGCUUGUUCAGUCUCGAAGGUCCAGCCAAUCACAAUUGAUGUAUGGCAUGUACACGUCGGUCUAAACUGUCACUUGAGUCCAGAGCUCAAUCAGCACUAAAAACGUGAUGAUGGCAAGUUAUUUUGCAAUAACAAUUCUGAUUGCAGCAUUGCCGGUUGAGAGCCAAGACAUUCCUCGUUCAGUUUCUGAAAUAAAAGCAGAACUUGGAGAUAAGGUUACUUUACAUUGUAGAGGAAUGAAAAAAGAAAAUAUGCCGGGCGAUAAGAUUGACUUGUACAAACAAUCUCAUGGAUAUGUUCCCCAAACAGUUGCUCGAUGUUUCUUUGGAAAAAUUACAAUUUAUCCUCCCUUUAACUUAACAUUCACAGUGGAAGAAGGGGUUUCUGAUUUCAAUUUGAUCCUUCAAAGUGUGACUAAAGGGGAUGAGGCAAACUAUUUUUGUCGACAACAAUAUUCUGACAGUUGGACUAAGGGCAUAUUUCUGUCUGUCAAAGAUCACAACAUCACGCCGGUUGAAGAAAAGCAAGAUGAAACAGAACCCUGCUGGCAUCUGGUGAUCUUGGUGCAUCGGAUAGUGUUGGCUUGCUGUCUGCUUGUGAUUAUAAUCCUCAUUCUAAUCAUUCAUUACAGGACGGGGAAACUGAUUCCUUGAACUACGCAGCGUUGGAGAUCCCCGGCAGAAGAAAUCGAAGGAGGGAAGAAGAACACUGAAAGGACUCAGGAGAGUGAGGAUUCUGCUGUGAGAGUAACCUGCCACUGAAGUCCAUCAACCACGUCCUAAUAUAGUUUGAUCUGGUGGAUGUGCAUUACUUUUCUAAAAGGGGUAAAAAGUACAAGCUCAAGUUAAGACAUGAAAGACAAUAAAUAUGAUUCUGACAAAGCUCAAAUAUAACAACAAUUUAACAGCGCUGGAAAGGGGUUCGGUUCAAAAUAUAUAUAUUGUUAAUGGUGACGAGCAAGCAUAUCAUUUUGGGUUUCCUAGUGUAGAUACAUUCAGCCUUUGCAAAGAGACCUAAUGCGAAUGCAUUGUGUUCAUUUUUCAACUUACUUUUGAUCAGAUAAAUUUACUUUAUGCGACUUAUCAAUAUGUUUGCAUUCGUUUUUUGUAAGUUUAUAUUGAUGAAGUGCGUAAUAAUUGUUAUUGUUAAUAAUUGCUGUAUUACUAACAAACGUUUGAAAGUAUUCAGAGAUGACACGUCAUUUUACGUUGUUAUGUCAUCUAUCAACCUUACAUGCUUAUGCAAAUAGGGGAUAGUUGGUUCAAAAUGUAUAAAUAUCUCUAAGCCUACUUUAACUAUUGAUAUUAAGCAAAACCUAUUGUUGCUAGAAUGUGUAAACUGAUAUUAGUUGGAAUGGUCAAAGAAAUUGUGAUCUUGACGUUCGACACAACACUGCUAGACGAACUGCUUUGUGGGAAAU